rnacentral:rRNA from 1 species
UGGGGAAUAUUGCACAAUGGGCGAAAGCCUGGUGCAGCAACGCCGCGUGAGUGAUGAAGGCCUUCGGGUUGUAAAGCUCUGUCUUCUGGGACGAUAAUGACGGUACCAGAGGAGGAAGCCACGGCUAACUACGUGCCAGCAGCCGCGGUAAUACGUAGGUGGCAAGCGUUGUCCGGAUUUACUGGGCGUAAAGGAUGCGUAGGCGGAUACUUAAGUCAGAUGUGAAAAUCCCGGGCUUAACUUGGGAACUGCAUUUGAAACUGGGUAUCUAGAGUGCGGGAGAGGAAAGUGGAACUCCUAGUGUAGCGGUGAAAUGCGUAGAGAUUAGGAAGAACACCAGUGGCGAAGGCGACUUUCUGGACCGUAACUGACGCUGAGGCAUGAAAGCGUGGGGAGCAAACA